rnacentral:rRNA from 1 species
GAUGAACGCUGGCGGCGUGCCUAAUACAUGCAAGUCGAGCGAACAGAUGAGGAGCUUGCUCCUCUGACGUUAGCGGCGGACGGGUGAGUAACGCGUGGAUAACCUACCUAUAAGACUGGGAUAACUUCGGGAAACCGGAGCUAAUACCGGAUAAUAUAUUGAACCGCAUGGUUCAAUAGUGAAAGACGGUUUUGCUGUCACUUAUAGAUGGAUCCGCGCCGCAUUAGCUAGUUGGUAAGGUAACGGCUUACCAAGGCAACGAUGCGUAGCCGACCUGAGAGGGUGAUUGGCCACACUGGAACUGAGACACGGUCCAGACUCCUACGGGAGGCAGCAGUAGGGAAUCUUCCGCAAUGGGCGAAAGCCUGACGGAGCAACGCCGCGUGAGUGAUGAAGGUCUUCGGAUCGUAAAACUCUGUUAUUAGGGAAGAACAAAUGUGUAAGUAACUAUGCACGUCUUGACGGGACCUAAUCAGAAAGCCACGGCUAACUACG